rnacentral:rRNA from 1 species
UACCCGCAGCACAAGUGGUGGUCAUUAUUAUUGGGCCUAAAGCGUCCGUAGCUGGCCUGUUAGAUGCCUGGGUAAAUCGAUGCGCUCAACGUAUCGAACUCCGGGUAGACCGGCAGGCUCGAGACCGGGAGAGGUGUAGGCUACUCGCGGGGUAGGGGGUAAAAUCCUGUAAUCCUGCGGGGAGGACCAGUGGCGAAGGCGCUACACUAGAACGGCUCUGACAGUGAGGGACGAAGCCCUGGGGCGCAAACCGG